AGUUGAGGAUGGAGGUGGAAGGGAGGAGCUGGUCGUGACUGGGGGCUUUGGGGCAGCCUGUCCUUCGAAGUGGGCCAGGCGGUCCCCGGGAGCUGUGCGCUUGCCUGGGGGGCUCGCCCGGCUCGCUGCAGCGCGCUCCGGGCUGCGAGUUCGCCCGUGAGCGCCAGGGUUUCUGUAGCACCACGGGGACGUGGUCCGGGCGACGGCACCGUGCUGUUCUGGGGAGGUCGGACAUCCCUGGUCUGCAGAGGAGCCCUGGGAUCCCCACCAGAGAUGGAGAGGAGAAGAAUGAAGAGCAGGACUUUGGAAUGUCUUUGCAUAAACCCUCGGAUGUGUAGGGCUGAGGAACCGAGCUGCAAUGAUCCAGGGAGAGGAAUGACAGUGGCUGAAUGUCACCUCGCACCUUCCUGUCUUCACUGAGCUUUCUUCUCUGGGAAGAAACCAAGUCUGAGGAGCAGCCGUGGGACUUGUGCAAAGCCUGGUGGAAAAUAGGAGUGACCGUGGAAGAGAGAAAACCCACCAGACUCUACUCCAGUCCCUGUUUUUCCCCUUUAUAGCCUGAGGGAUGUGGAACGGGCACAAACACCGCAGGUCUGGCCAGGAAACCUUCAAGUAGCAGCACUUUCCCUUUUAAGCAGCCUCACUGCGCAGGGCUGAUACUAAAGAGCAGUGGGGAUGCAAUCCACGUGCCGAAGGACACUGGGACCUCUGCGUUUCGGUGGAUGGUGGAGGAGGAAAUCUGCCGACGCCGAGACCUGUUCAUGUUGACUUCCUGCCUGAACAUACGCACCAUAUGCUCAAUCUUUACUUAAUGUAAAUCAAUGCUAAUCCAUCGACGCCACCGAAGCUGGGCUAUUUUAGCCAUCGAGAGCCUAGCCUUCUGUAUCGUACGCGCUCAGCUGUGACUUCAUAGCUCAAAAAAUAUUAAACAGCACUCAGUGGGGAGCAAGGGGGCACAUACACAUUUAAUUCAAGUGAAAUAAAAUUCUCAAUUUUUUUAAUAAAUCCAUUUUAUGGCUG